UAGGUGGCAAGCGUUGUCCGGAUUUACUGGGUGUAAAGGGCGUGUAGGCGGAGAUACAAGUCAGGAGUGAAAUCUGGGGGCUCAACCCCCAAACUGCUUUUGAAACUGUAUCCCUUGAGUAUCGGAGAGGCAGGCGGAAUUCCUAGUGUAGCGGUGAAAUGCGUAGAUAUUAGGAAGAACACCAGUGGCGAAGGCGGCCUGCUGGACGACAACUGACGCUGAGGCGCGAAAGCGUGGGGAGCAAA
rnacentral:rRNA from 1 species